rnacentral:rRNA from 1 species
UACGGGGGGGGUAAGCGUUGUUCGGAAUUACUGGGCGUAAAGGGCUCGUAGGCGGCCAACUAAGUCGGACGUGAAAUCCCUCAGCUUAACUGGGGAACUGCGUCCGAUACUGGAUGGCUUGGAUUCGGGAGAGGGAUGCGGAAUUCCAGGUGUAGCGGUGAAAUGCGUAGAUAUCUGGAGGAACACCGGUGGCGAAGGCGGCAUCCUGGACCGAUAUUGACGCUGAGGAGCGAAAGCCAGGGGAGCAAACGGG